AGAACGAACGCUGGCGGCAUGCCUAAUACAUGCAAGUCGAACGAACUCUUCGGAGUUAGUGGCGCACGGGUGCGUAACGCGUGGGAAUCUGCCCUUGGGUUCGGAAUAACAGUUGGAAACGACUGCUAAUACCGGAUGAUGACGAAAGUCCAAAGAUUUAUCGCCCAGGGAUGAGCCCGCGUAGGAUUAGCUAGUUGGUGAGGUAAAGGCUCACCAAGGCGACGAUCCUUAGCUGGUCUGAGAGGAUGAUCAGCCACACUGGAACUGAGACACGGUCCAGACUCCUACGGGAGCAGCAGUGGGGAAUUUGGACAAUGGGCGCAAGCCUGAUCCAGCAAUGCCGCGUGCAGGAUGAA
rnacentral:rRNA from 1 species